CCGCGUGGGUGAGGAAGGCUUUCGGGUCGUAAACCCUGUCAGGAGGGAAGAAGUGCUUAUAGGCUAAUACCUUGUAAGUUUGACGGUACCUUCAAAGGAAGCACCGGCUAACUCCGUGCCAGCAGCCGCGGUAAUACGGAGGGUGCAAGCGUUGUUCGGAAUCACUGGGCGUAAAGGGCGCGUAGGCGGCUUGGCAAGUCAGAUGUGAAAGCCCACGGCUUAACCGUGGAAGUGCAUUUGAAACUGCCUGGCUUGAGUAUCAGAGGGGAAAGUGGAAUUCCCGGUGUAGAGGUGAAAUUCGUAGAUAUCGGGAGGAAUACCGGUGGCGAAGGCGACUUUCUGGCUGAAUACUGACGCUGAGGCGCGAAAGCCGUGGGGGAGCAAACAGGAUUAGAUCCCUGGUAUCCACGCCGUAAACGAUGUCAACUAGUGCAGGGGUGUUGAUCCCUCUGUGUCGCA
rnacentral:rRNA from 1 species